UCUGUACUCCCUCCAUUCCAAAAUACUUCACUUCCAUUUGUCCAAAAAUGGAUGUACCUAUAUACUAAAACAUGUCUAGAUACAUCUAUAUUUUGACAAAUAGAAGGCAUGUAUUGUGGAACGGAGGGAGUAGAAU
rnacentral:pre_miRNA from 1 species